UUCAUCUUGUAAAAUAAUAAUAGUAGCAUCUAUCUCAUAGGUUGCUGUGACAAGUAAGUGAAAUAGCACAAAUGCAGUGCCUGAGAGUGGAUCAUCAUAAGAAUAAAAUCUUAGAAACACUCGAAUCAUGCUUUCCAGCCCUUCAUAUGGUUGCCUUCAACUUAAGUUCCACCAUGAAAAUGGUACUAUCAUUCCAAGGAGAUAGAAGAUAAAUUGGUUUUUCCCUCUACAUAUUUGACAAAGAACACUUCUUAAUUAAAAAAUUAACUGAAAAAAGGUAAAUUCCUAACAUACUUGGAUUUCAUUUUGGAGGUUUGCAAUGAGACCCUGUAUGUGAACUUGCUUUUCCUGUGUUUUUACAUGUUAAUGAUGUUAGAAAAUGCUAUUCUUGCACAUUGUUGAAUUUUAUGACAAAUACAUUAAAAUGCUUUGGACUGCUUAUUAAGAUGCUCUAAGACUAAAGCUUUUCUUUAACUUAAAAUUUUUAUAAAUAUGGACAAGCCAAUAAGAUGUGUGAUGGCCUAAAUGUAAAACAAUGGUAGUUUAAUUUCUCUUUAAAAAUUGUUUUGGUUUCUUUGCAUCUUAUUUUAUUCAGUAGAGAACCAAACUGUGUAAUUUGUUUGAUAUUUUCCUCCUGUUGUUUU
ensembl:lncRNA